rnacentral:lncRNA from 1 species
UUCAUCUGCCUUGGGUUGCCUGGAUAUUUCAGGGCACCAUGCUGGAGGUCACUUUAAGACCAGAUGAAGAGCCUUGCUCCUGGGAUACAUCUCAUCUGAAAACUCCUGCACCAGGUAACCUAAGCUACAGAAUGCUGUUUCCUUGUGAAAACAAUUUAUUAGGCCCCGUGGAACCAAUAUCCUGGAGUUGUAGAGGAGAAAAAUAAAUUCUUGCCU